rnacentral:rRNA from 1 species
UACAGAGGGUGCGAGCGUUGUUCGGAAUUAUUGGGCGUAAAGGGCGCGUAGGCGGUGCGGUAAGUCUGUAGUGAAAUCUCUGGGCUCAACUCAGAGUCUGCUGCAGAAACUGCCGUGCUUGAGUGUGGGAGAGGUGAGUGGAAUUCCCGGUGUAGCGGUGAAAUGCGUAGAUAUCGGAAGGAACGCCGGUGGCGAAAGCGGCGUGCUGGACCCUUUCUGACGCUGAGGCGCGAAAGCCAGGGGGAGCGAACGGG